GAUGAAGAACGUAGCGAAAUGCGAUAAGUAGUGUGAAUUGCAGAAUUCAGUGAAUCAUCGAAUCUUUGAACGCACAUUGCGCCCUUUGGUAUUCCAAAGGGCAUGCCUGUUCGAGCGUCAUUUGUACCCUCAAGCUUUGCUUGGUGUUGGGCGUCUUGUCUCUAGCUUUGCUGGAGACUCGCCUUAAAGUAAUUGGCAGCCGGCCUACUGGUUUCGGAGCGCAGCACGAGUCGCACUCUCUAUCAGCAAAGGUCUAGCAUCCAUUAAGCCUUUUUUUCAACUUUUGACCUCGGAUCAGGUAGGAAGACCCGCUGAACUUAAGCAUAUCAAUAAGCGGAGGA
rnacentral:misc_RNA from 1 species